rnacentral:rRNA from 1 species
GACGAACGCUGGCGGCGUGCCUAAUACAUGCAAGUAGAACGCUGAAGAGAGGAGCUUGCUCUUCUUGGAUGAGUUGCGAACGGGUGAGUAACGCGUAGGUAACCUGCCUUGUAGCGGGGGAUAACUAUUGGAAACGAUAGCUAAUACCGCAUAACAAUGGAUGACACAUGUCAUUUAUUUGAAAGGGGCAAUUGCUCCACUACAAGAUGGACCUGCGUUGUAUUAGCUAGUAGGUGAGGUAAUGGCUCACCUAGGCGACGAUACAUAGCCGACCUGAGAGGGUGAUCGGCCACACUGGGACUGAGACACGGCCCAGACUCCUACGGGAGGCAGCAGUAGGGAAUCUUCGGCAAUGGGGGCAACCCUGACCGAGCAACGCCGCGUGAGUGAAGAAGGUUUUCGGAUCGUAAAGCUCUGUUGUAAGUCAAGAACGGGUGUGAGAGUGGAAAGUUCACACUGUGACGGUAGCUUACCAGAAAGGGACGGCUAACUACGUGCCAGCAGCCGCGGUAAUACGUAGGUCCCGAGCGUUGUCCGGAUUUAUUGGGCGUAAAGCGAGCGCAGGCGGUUUGAUAAGUCUGAAGUUAAAGGCUGUGGCUCAACCAUAGUUCGCUUUGGAAACUGUCAAACUUGAGUGCAGAAGGGGAGAGUGGAAUUCCAUGUGUAGCGGUGAAAUGCGUAGAUAUAUGGAGGAACACCGGUGGCGAAAGCGGCUCUCUGGUCUGUAACUGACGCUGAGGCUCGAAAGCGUGGGGAGCGAACAGGAUUAGAUACCCUGGUAGUCCACGCCGUAAACGAUGAGUGCUAGGUGUUGGAUCCUUUCCGGGAUUCAGUGCCGCAGCUAACGCAUUAAGCACUCCGCCUGGGGAGUACGACCGCAAGGUUGAAACUCAAAGGAAUUGACGGGGGCCCGCACAAGCGGUGGAGCAUGUGGUUUAAUUCGAAGCAACGCGAAGAACCUUACCAGGUCUUGACAUCCCAAUGCUAUUUCUAGAGAUAGAAAGUUACUUCGGUACAUCGGUGACAGGUGGUGCAUGGUUGUCGUCAGCUCGUGUCGUGAGAUGUUGGGUUAAGUCCCGCAACGAGCGCAACCCCUAUUGUUAGUUGCCAUCAUUCAGUUGGGCACUCUAGCGAGACUGCCGGUAAUAAACCGGAGGAAGGUGGGGAUGACGUCAAAUCAUCAUGCCCCUUAUGACCUGGGCUACACACGUGCUACAAUGGUUGGUACAACGAGUUGCGAGUCGGUGACGGCGAGCUAAUCUCUUAAAGCCAAUCUCAGUUCGGAUUGUAGGCUGCAACUCGCCUACAUGAAGUCGGAAUCGCUAGUAAUCGCGGAUCAGCACGCCGCGGUGAAUACGUUCCCGGGCCU